AUUGAACGCUGGCGGCAUGCCUUACACAUGCAAGUCGAACGGUAACAGGUUAAGCUGACGAGUGGCGAACGGGUGAGUAAUGUAUCGGAACGUGCCCAGUCGUGGGGGAUAACUACUCGAAAGAGUGGCUAAUACCGCAUACGACCUGAGGGUGAAAGCGGGGGACCGUAAGGCCGCGCGCGAUUCGGGCGGCCGAUAUCAGAUUAGCUAGUUGGUGGGGUAAAAGCCCACCAAGGCGACGAUCUGUAGCUGGUCUGAGAGGACGACCAGCCACACUGGGACUGAGACACGGCCCAGACUCCUACGGGAGGCAGCAGUGGGGAAUUUUGGACAAUGGACGCAAGUCUGAUCCAGCCAUGCCGCGUGCGGGAAGAAGGCCUUCGGGUUGUAAACCGCUUUUGUCAGGGAAGAAACGAGUUUCUCUAAUACAGAGACUUAAUGACGGUACCUGAAGAAUAAGCACCGGCUAACUACGUGCCAGCAGCCGCCGUAAAAC
rnacentral:rRNA from 1 species